GAUGAACGCUGGCGGCGUGCCUAAUACAUGCAAGUCGAGCGAACAGACGAGGAGCUUGCUCCUCUGACGUUAGCGGCGGACGGGUGAGUAACACGUGGAUAACCUACCUAUAAGACUGGGAUAACUUCGGGAAACCGGAGCUAAUACCGGAUAAUAUAUUGAACCGCAUGGUUCAAUAGUGAAAAACGGUUUUUCUGUCACUUAUAGAUGGAUCCGCGCCGCAUUAGCUAGUUGGUAAGGUAACGGCUUACCAAGGCAACGAUGCGUAGCCGACCUGAGAGGGUGAUCGGCCACACUGGAACUGAGACACGGUCCAGACUCCUACGGGAGGCAGCAGUAGGGAAUCUUCCGCAAUGGGCGAAAGCCUGACGGAGCAACGCCGCGUGAGUGAUGAAGGUCUUCGGAUCGUAAAACUCUGUUAUUAGGGAAGAACAAAUGUGUAAGUAACUAUGCACGUCUUGACGGUACCUAAUCAGAAAGCCACGGCUAACUACGUG
rnacentral:rRNA from 1 species